CGGGGGGCGCUAUUGACUGGUCCCCCGUCAUCUGCGGGGGAGAAGCCGGUGGAAACCCGGCACGGUCGCGCCACUGUAUAGCGCAUGCGUGCAUGCGGAAGUCAGACCUCUCCUGCGGAUCAGGCUACCAUUCCGUUACGGGACGCGCUUUCCCGACAGGAGAUCUGAACCAUGUCCCAUCCUUUCAU
rfam:Gluconacetobacter sp. SXCC-1 Contig2924, whole genome shotgun sequence.